CGCAUCUGUGCAUGCAGCAUAUCAAUAAGCGGAGGAAAAGGAAACUAACAAGGAUUCCCUUAGUAACGGCGAGUGAAGCGGGAAGAGCUCAAAUUUGAAAUCUUCAGGGUUUUACCUUGACGAAUUGUAGUUUAAAGAAGUGUUUUCUGUUGAAGUUUUGGUAAAAGUUCUUUGGAAUAGGACAUCAUAGAGGGUGAGAAUCCCGUAUUUGACCAUUAUUUUCAGCUGUGUGAUACACUUUCAAAGAGUCGGAUUGUUUGGGAAUGCAGUCCAAAAUGGGUGGUAAAUUUCAUCUAAAGCUAAAUAUUGGCGAGAGACCGAUAGCGAACAAGUACCGUGAGGGAAAGAUGAAAAGAACUUUGAAAAGAGAGUUAAACAGUACGUGAAAUUGUCAAAAGGGAAGCGUUUGACACCAGUGUUGUUUUCUCGAAAAUCAAUUAAAAAGAGUUAGAUUUUGUUGUGUAUUGACCUUAACAGCUUGCAUUUCAAUUUUCUUGCUCUUUUUAAUGCACUUUUCGUUUAACAAGUCAACAUCAGUUUCUUUUGUUGUAAAAAGGUCAUUGGAAGGUGGCUUUCUUUUCGGAGAAAGUGUUUAUAGCCUUUGACUCCUGCAAUCGGAGAGACUGAGGUCUGCAGCGUAGAUCCUUCGGGGUUAGAUACAUUUGUGCUAAGUUAUAGCUUUUUAUAGACAACUUGUUGACUAUGAUUAGUCUUGUAGCUUACUCGCUUAUGCUAUUUUACCUACGCUUAGGAUGUUGAACUCUAUCACACACAG
rnacentral:rRNA from 1 species